rnacentral:rRNA from 1 species
CCUACGGGCGGCAGCAGUGAGGAAUAUUGGUCAAUGGGCGGGAGCCUGAACCAGCCAAGUCGCGUGAGGGACGACGGUCCUAUGGAUUGUAAACCUCUUUUGUCGGGGAACAACGGCGCCUACGGGUGGGCGGAUGAGUGUACCCGAAGAAAAAGCAUCGGCUAACCCCGUGCCAGCAGCCGCGGUAAUACGGGGGAUGCGGGCGUUAUCCGGAUUUAUGGGGUUUAAAUGGUGCGUAGGCGGACAGUCAAGUCAGCGGUAAAAAUGCGGUGCUCAACGCCGUACAGCCGGUGAAACUGGCAGUCUUGGGUGGGCAAGAGGUAUGCGGAAUGCGUGGUGUAGCGGUGAAAUGCAUAGAU